GUGCCAGCCGCCGCGGUAAUACCGGCAGCCCAAGUGAUGGCCGAUAUUAUUGGGCCUAAAGCGUCCGUAGCUGGCCAGACAAGUCUGUUGGGAAAUCCACGCGCUCAACGCGUGGGCGUCCAGCGGAAACUGUCUGGCUUGGGGCCGGAGGACUCGAGGGGUACGUCCGGGGUAGGAGUGAAAUCCCGUAAUCCUGGACGGACCACCGGUGGCGAAAGCGCCUCGAGAGGACGGACCCGACAGUGAGGGACGAAAGCCAGGGUCUCGAACCGGAUUAGAAACCCGAGUAGUCC
rnacentral:rRNA from 1 species